rnacentral:rRNA from 1 species
GACGAACGCUGGCGGCGUGCUUAACACAUGCAAGUCGAACGAGGAUUAUAGGAAUGAGAGCUUCGGCAGGAUUUCCGGUAAUUCGAGUGGCGGACGGGUGAGUAACGCGUGAACAAUCUGUCCCAGACAGGGGGAUAACACUUGGAAACAGGUGCUAAUACCGCAUAAGACCACGGCAUCGCAUGGUGCAGGGGUAAAAGGAGCGAUCCGGUUUGGGGUGAGUUCGCGUCCGAUUAGAUAGUUGGUGAGGUAACGGCCCACAAGUCGACGAUCGGUAGCCGACCUGAGAGGGUGAUCGGCCACAUUGGAACUGAGAGACGGUCCAA